CUCCUACGGGAGGCAGCAGUGGGGAAUCUUGCACAAUGGGCGAAAGCCUGAUGCAGCGACGCCGCGUGGGGGAUGAAGCUUUUCGGAGUGUAAACCCCUUUCGACCCGGACGAAUGCCCCGCGAGGGGACUGACGGUACGGGUAUAAGAAGCCCCGGCUAACUACGUGCCAGCAGCCGCGGUAAUACGUAGGGGGCCAGCGUUGCUCGGAAUUACUGGGUGUAAAGGGUUCGUAGGCGGUGCGGCAAGUUGGGAGUGAAAUCUCUGGGCUCAACCCAGAGGCUGCUUUCAAAACUGCUGUGCUUGAGUGUGGGAGAGGCGCGUGGAAUUGCAGGUGUAGCGGUGAAAUGCGUAGAUAUCUGCAGGGACACCCGUGGCGAAAGCGGCGCGCUGGACCACAACUGACGCUGAGGAACGAAAGCUAGGGGAGCAAACAGGAUUAGAUACCCUGGUAGUCCUAGCCCUAAACGAUCAGGACUUGGGGUGGCUCACGUUCGUGAGUCGUCCCGGAGCUAACGCGUUAA
rnacentral:rRNA from 1 species